CCGUUAAACCUCACCAUCUUUAGCCAUUCCCGCCUAUAUACCGCCGUCGUCAGCUUACCCUGUGAGGGAGUAAUAGUAAGCAAAAUUGACAUAAUCCAAAACGUCAGGUCGAGGUGUAGCGAAUGAGAUGGGAAGAAAUGGGCUACAUUUUCUAACACAGAACAAUACGAACAACACCAUGAAAAAUGGUGCUCGAAGGAGGAUUUAGUAGUAAAAAGGAAACAGAGUGUCCUUUUGAACCCGGCUCUAAGGCGCGUACACACCGCCCGUCACCCUCCCCUGUCAACCGCAUCAUACAGUACAUCACAACAAAGCACUGACAAGGGGAGGCAAGUCGUAACAUGGUAAGUGUACCGGAAGGUGCACUUGGAUCAAACC
rnacentral:rRNA from 1 species